rnacentral:rRNA from 1 species
UGUUCGAAAGGGAAACAGCCCAGACCACCAGCUAAGGUCCCAAAAUAUAUGUUAAGUGGAAAAGGAUGUGGCGUUGCCCAGACAACUAGGAUGUUGGCUUAGAAGCAGCCAUCAUUUAAAGAGUGCGUAAUAGCUCACUAGUCGAGUGACACUGCGCCGAAAAUGUACCGGGGCUAAACAUAUUACCGAAGCUGUGGAUUGUCCUUUGGACAAUGGUAGGAGAGCGUUCUAAGGGCGUUGAAGCAUGAUCGUAAGGACAUGUGGAGCGCUUAGAAGUGAGAAUGCCGGUGUGAGUAGCGAAAGACGGGUGAGAAUCCCGUCCACCGAUUGACUAAGGUUUCCAGAGGAAGGCUCGUCCGCUCUGGGUUAGUCGGGUCCUAAGCUGAGGCCGACAGGCGUAGGCGAUGGAUAACAGGUUGAUAUUCCUGUACCACCUAUAAUCGUUUUAAUCGAUGGGGGGACGCAGUAGGAUAGGCGAAGCGUGCGAUUGGAUUGCACGUCUAAGCAGUAAGGCUGAGUAUUAGGCAAAUCCGGUACUCGUUAAGGCUGAGCUGUGAUGGGGAGAAGACAUUGUGUCUUCGAGUCGUUGAUUUCACACUGCCGAGAAAAGCCUCUAGAUAGAAAAUAGGUGCCCGUACCGCAAACCGACACAGGUAGUCAAGAUGAGAAUUCUAAGGUGAGCGAGCGAACUCUCGUUAAGGAACUCGGCAAAAUGACCCCGUAACUUCGGGAGAAGGGGUGCUCUUUAGGGUUAACGCCCAGAAGAGCCGCAGUGAAUAGGCCCAAGCGACUGUUUAUCAAAAACACAGGUCUCUGCUAAACCGUAAGGUGAUGUAUAGGGGCUGACGCCUGCCCGGUGCUGGAAGGUUAAGAGGAGUGGUUAGCUUCUGCGAAGCUACGAAUCGAAGCCCCAGUAAACGGCGGCCGUAACUAUAACGGUCCUAAGGUAGCGAAAUUCCUUGUCGGGUAAGUUCCGACCCGCACGAAAGGCGUAACGAUUUGGGCACUGUCUCAACGAGAGACUCGGUGAAAUCAUAGUACCUGUGAAGAUGCAGGUUACCCGCGACAGGACGGAAAGACCCCGUGGAGCUUUACUGUAGCCUGAUAUUGAAAUUCGGCACAGCUUGUACAGGAUAGGUAGGAGCCUUUGAAACGUGAGCGCUAGCUUACGUGGAGGCGCUGGUGGGAUACUACCCUAGCUGUGUUGGCUUUCUAACCCGCACCACUUAUCGUGGUGGGAGACAGUGUCAGGCGGGCAGUUUGACUGGGGCGGUCGCCUCCUAAAAGGUAACGGAGGCGCUCAAAGGUUCCCUCAGAAUGGUUGGAAAUCAUUCAUAGAGUGUAAAGGCAUAAGGGAGCUUGACUGCGAGACCUACAAGUCGAGCAGGGUCGAAAGACGGACUUAGUGAUCCGGUGGUUCCGCAUGGAAGGGCCAUCGCUCAACGGAUAAAAGCUACCCCGGGGAUAACAGGCUUAUCUCCCCCAAGAGUUCACAUCGACGGGGAGGUUUGGCACCUCGAUGUCGGCUCAUCGCAUCCUGGGGCUGUAGUCGGUCCCAAGGGUUGGGCUGUUCGCCCAUUAAAGCGGUACGCGAGCUGGGUUCAGAACGUCGUGAGACAGUUCGGUCCCUAUCCGUCGUGGGCGUAGGAAAUUUGAGAGGAGCUGUCCUUAGUACGAGAGGACCGGGAUGGACAUACCUCUGGUGUACCAGUUGUCGUGCCAACGGCAUAGCUGGGUAGCUAUGUGUGGACGGGAUAAGUGCUGAAAGCAUCUAAGCAUGAAGCCCCCCUCAAGAUGAGAUUUCCCAACUUCGGUUAUAAGAUCCCUCAAAGAUGAUGAGGUUAAUAGGUUCGAGGUGGAAGCAUGGUGACAUGUGGAGCUGACGAAUACUAAUCGAUCGAAGACUUAAUCAA